UAGAUUCUUUAUUUUUAACAUGCAUCAGUUCAGAGUCUCUGACAGUUGACAGCUGAGAAAGGGACAGAAAGGGAGAGAAGCACGAUGGCUGAAUUCAAAUGGAUUAAAAUGUCUUUAUUUGGGAUACUGCUUCAGUUUACAGCUGUUACUGGACAACACCUCUCCACUGUCAGAGAUGGCGAUGAUGUCACUUUGACUUGUGAAAAUGUGGUAGAUGGUCAGGUUAACUGUGACUGGACAACUGGUUCUUCAGAGGUUCAAGAAGCAGCGUAGUAGAUCUGGUUAGUGGUGGGCAGAUUGUUGAAAGAGACAAAGCUAAAUCAGACAGACUGAGUGUUAGAGAGACAUGCUCUCUGGUUAUAAAGAAGGUCACAGUUCAGGAUGUUGGUCUUUACUACUGUCGACAGCUCAAACCAGGACAAGAAGUUGCAGACACUCAGAUUGAACUAUCUGUUAUUAACAUGGAGGAAUAUGAAGAAGGUGGGCGGGUGGAGCUGUCCUGCUCUGUGUCGACACGUGAAGUGUGUAGACACACAGUGAAGUGGCUGUAUGAGGGGAAAGAUGAAGAUGGAGAUAUAAGAUCCACGGAUAUGCAGACUUCACAGUCUAAGUGCUCAGUUACUGGGACGUUUUUUAUUUCUAAUCUCAAGCAGAAGUAUCAAGAGUUGUUCAAGUGUGAAGUGACAGAUGGUUACACUGGAAAAGUGCAGCUGUUUCCCUUCAUCCCUCAGUCCUCAGGGGAGGAUGCAACAACAUUAACCACGC